UUGUCGUGUCAUUGCUGGGCUCUGCACCAAUCCACGGUCGCCUGACGGUGCGUCAGAGCAGCUCUCAGUACUUUGAAGGAGACUCUGUGUCUCUGAGCUGUGAGGAGGACAACAGCCUGGCUGUAUGGACUCUGAAAAGAAACACAACCAAGGAAAGUAGAACUCAGUGUGGAACGGACUGGGGGGACGCCGUCGGUUCCUCCUGCAUCGUCAGCCACAUCGUCCCCCUGGAUUCUGGAGUUUACUGGUGUGAGUGGAGAGAGGGAGCAGCCAGCAGCAGCAGCAUCCAGCUCACUGUCACUGGUGGAUCAGUGAUCCUGCAGAGUCC